AUAACAUUAAAAGCUCUCUGUGCUGGCAAGCUCCAUCAGGCCCUGUGCAUUUCUGUAUUAAAUACUUCCACAUCUGUCCUCUCUUUCGCAGGUCCCCAUGCCGCUGGACCUCUAUCACAUCCAGCCAAGGCCAUUCACAGUGAUAGCUUUCUCCUUUCAGCAGCUUGGCUCUAGCAGACACAUCCUGGCUUCAAAAAGAGUAGAAGAUGGCCUAUGGAGGAAUGGUGACAGUAAAUGGAUCUUUGUAUUUAGUAUUUUUGUUCUGUACUCAGAUCUUUUGUUCUGAGCCAAUAUGCUGAGGAUAUUCUUAGAGAACAAGCCAACCUCUUCUGGAUUGUUGGAGUUGUGGGCAGGGAGGGCCCCUAUAAUGUGUGCUAAGUGCUAGGUGUGUCACUCACAACAAGCCAGAGCCAGACAUUAUCACUUUCUUUCAUGGUAAGGAACUGGCACAGAAAGGUUCAGCAGCCUCCCCAGGAGCACUUUGCAGGACCCACCAAUUUUCCAUCGUCGUUACUGAAUCCAACAAAAAUCACUUCAGUGCUAAUGAACUGAGAACUUGAGAGGAGACGAUAUGGCAGCUGUACAGUUUCUAUUCCACAAAGAGUUUCAGACCAAGUGUUUGGUCAAUAAGAGACCCUCAUAAACAUAAUCCUUACCAGCUGGCUUCCCUCCCUGCCUGCCUCCUGCUUCAUUCCUUCCAUUGUUCAGCAAAAGUAUAUUGAGCAUCUUCUAUACGC
rnacentral:lncRNA from 1 species